rnacentral:rRNA from 1 species
GAUGAACGCUAGCUACAGGCUUAACACAUGCAAGUCGAGGGGAAACGACAUCGAAAGCUUGCUUUUGAUGGGCGUCGACCGGCGCACGGGUGAGUAACGCGUAUCCAACCUGCCCACCACUUGGGGAUAACCUUGCGAAAGUAAGACUAAUACCCAAUGAUAUCUCUAGAAGACAUCUGAAAGAGAUUGAAGAUUUAUCGGUGAUGGAUGGGGAUGCGUCUGAUUAGCUUGUUGGCGGGGUAACGGCCCACCAAGGCAACGAUCAGUAGGGGUUCUGAGAGGAAGGUACCCCACAUUGGAACUGAGACACGGUCCAAACUCCUACGGGAGGCAGCAGUGAGGAAUAUUGGUCAAUGGACGAGAGUCUGAACCAGCCAAGUAGCGUGCAGGAAGACGGCGCUAUGGGUUGUAAACUGCUUUUAUAAGGGAAUAAAGUGAGUCUCGGGAGACUUUUUGCAUGUACCUUAUGAAUAAGGACCGGCUAAUUCCGUG